UUGGCAAACCUGCUCGUGAUAUGUUUGUAAAAAGUACAUGAAGAAUUGAUAGAACAAAUAAAAGAAGUAAAUCGGCCUCUUUUUAACAGUAUUUAUAACAUUUUAUCUUGUUUCUGCAACAUGUAUAUCUGAAAGACAAUAUUCAAAUCUUGAACAACCUCAACCCACUAAAGUAUCCUUAUACAUAUUUUGGAGUACUUUUCUUAUUCCUGCUGGGGAUUAUUGUCAAAGUGACAUCUAUCAGAACUCAACAACCAUUUGCUCAAUUUGGAAUCUAAAAAACUAUCAAAAUGACCCUUCAGUUCCACCCACUAGUUUUUGGCGUUAUGUUAGUGGUAGCGGCUGGAACUGUAGCUUACACAUUGUGGACGUCGAGUCGUCAGUAUCAGAGAUAUGAAGGUCACCAGAGUACACCCUCGAACUAUUGUGUUGGUUACGACACAAACAAGAGUAAAGAACCCCCAAGAAAAAGAAAGAACAUUGAUCAGUGCUGCAUCUGUUUAGGAAAAUUGGUCGGCGAUUUGAGAAUAUUACCCUGCAAGCAUGAAUUUCAUUCUAAUUGUAUCUCACAGUGGCUUGUUGGCAAUGACACUUGUCCGUUGUGCAGAAAAACCGAACGAUUAUAAAACAAUGCUUUACUUUUAUAAUUAUCAUGAGGGUCAAUAGUUGAUUUCAAUUUAACCAUUGAAUUAUAGGGAUAUAUUUUCUAACUUAGACGUUAAUUAGGGGGAAUAAAUCAGGUAUAGAACUAAAAAAAUGUAGUAACUUCACGAAAUAAUAAAUACCCUAAUUCUUCACAUUGAAAUACGAAUAAUUAACGAGAAAAAUGAGAAAAUAGUAUAUCAAAGCCCUGGUAUAAGAUUGAUUACUGAACUGAACAAUACUUAUAUGACCUAAAGUUUUCACAAAUAUAUUUAAAGUUUGGUUUUGAAACAAAAAGGCUCUCGAUUUUUGGACAUAGUACAAAAUUUUUCACACAUUUAUUAUAUGAGGUUUGACAAUUGAAAUUUUGAUGAAUCUGAUAGUUCGUAUGUAGGACCAACCCUGAGAUUUCACAAGGAUAUUUUAGUGAAGAAGAAAAUGCACUGUUCACUUCAAGGAACACCUUCUACAUAUUGAACCUCAAAGAAAUAUUUUUACAAAUUAAACAUAUGCAAAGAUAUUUUGCAAAAGUGACGUGUACAAUCGAUUAUUCGCUUUUAUGCUGUGUGUUUACUAACUUUGCACACUUAGCGUGUAUUUGUUAUAGCACAUAAAACAUACAAAUGAA